AUGAACGCUGGCGGCGUGCCUAAUACAUGCAAGUCGAGCGAACAGACGAGGAGCUUGCUCCUCUGACGUUAGCGGCGGACGGGUGCGUAACACGUGGAUAACCUACCUAUAAGACUGGGAUAACUUCGGGAAACCGGAGCUAAUACCGGAUAAUAUAUUGAACCGCAUGGUUCAAUAGUGAAAGACGGUUUUGCUGUCACUUAUAGAUGGAUCCGCGCCGCAUUAGCUAGUUGGUAAGGUAACGGCUUACCAAGGCAACGAUGCGUAGCCGACCUGAGAGGGUGAUCGGCCACACUGGAACUGAGACACGGUCCAGACUCCUACGGGAGGCAGCAGUAGGGAAUCUUCCGCAAAGGGCGAAAGCCUGACGGAGCAACGCCGCGUGAGUGAUGAAGGUCUUCGGAUCGUAAAACUCUGUUAUUAGGGAAGAACAAAUGUGUAAGUAACUAUGCACGUCUUGACGGUACCUAAUCAGAAAGCCACGGCUAACUACGUG
rnacentral:rRNA from 1 species